rnacentral:rRNA from 1 species
CCUACGGGUGGCAGCAGUGGGGAAUAUUGGACAAUGGGGGGAACCCUGAUCCAGCCAUGCCGCGUGUGUGAAGAAGGCCCUCGGGUUGUAAAGCACUUUCAGUGAGGAAGAACGCCUGGUGGUUAAUACCCAUCAGGAAAGACAUCACUCACAGAAGAAGCACCGGCUAACUCCGUGCCAGCAGCCGCGGUAAUACGGAGGGUGCGAGCGUUAAUCGGAAUUACUGGGCGUAAAGCGCGCGUAGGUGGCUUGAUAAGCCGGUUGUGAAAGCCCCGGGCUCAACCUGGGAACGGCAUCCGGAACUGUCAAGCUAGAGUGCAGGAGAGGAAGGUAGAAUUCCCGGUGUAGCGGUGAAAUGCGUAGAGAUCGGGAGGAAUACCAGUUGCGAAGGCGGCCUUCUGGACUGACACUGACACUGAGGUGCGAAAGCGUGGGUAGCAAACAGGAUUAGAUACCCCAGUAGUC